UGGAGUGAGUGAACUUGAUGAAACUUCCUAAAAUAAAGUUUGAAAAUGAUUUGUAGCAAAAGAGCUCAAAGGUAUUUUUUGAGUGACUUUUAAAAAAAAUGAAGGAGGAAUAGGGAAGGGUCUAAUACAGGUAUAUUAAAUAAAAGUGUAUGAAAAGGCAUCUUAGGACAACUCCCUGAAUUGUAAAUGAAUUUUAAAUUAAGGGUUUUUAUGGAGAUGCAUCUUUGGAUUUAAUUUUGGCAAAAUAAAUGGGCAUCAUUAAUUUGCGUUGAGGAGUGUGUAAAAAGGGUGCAUCCUGCAUUAUGAUUUUUCACAGUGGUGGGGGAGCAUCCCUAAGGGUGGGAAAAGUACCCCCUGAAUUAAUU
rnacentral:lncRNA from 1 species